UGGGGGAUAUUGCACAAUGGGCGAAAGCCUGAUGCAGCGACGCCGCGUUGGGGAUGAAGGCUUUCGGGUUGUAAACCUCUUUCGCUAUCGAACAAGGCCCGCUUAGGGUGGGUUGAGGGUAGGUGGAGAAGAAGCGCCGGCUAACUACGUGCCAGCAGCCUCGGUAAUACGUAGGGCGCGAGCGUUGUCCGGAAUUAUUGGGCGUAAAGGGCUUGUAGGCGGCUUGUUGCGCCUGCUGUGAAAACGCGGGGCUUAACUUCGCGCGUGCAGUGGGUACGGGCAGGCUUGAGUGUGGUAGGGGUGACUGGAAUUCCAGGUGUAGCGGUGGAAUGCGAAGAUAUAUGGAGGAACACAGAUGGCGAAGGCAGGUCACUGGGCCAUUACUGAAGCUGAGGAGCGAAAGCAUGGGUAGCGAACAGG
rnacentral:rRNA from 1 species